GAGCCUGUGGCUCAAUGGUAGAGCGUUCGACUCAAAUACCAAAGGUCGCGGGUUCGAAUCUCAGGUGUG
rnacentral:tRNA from 1 species